GCGGGUGUGAUCCUUGGAGGCAGAAAAGUCACACGGAGAAAAUGCUGCUUUCAGAUGUCCAUUCUGGGCUGGGGCAACAAAAAUGAGCCAAACUGGUGAAAACUGGCUGAAUUCCACCGCUGAGUGUACUCUACAGGUCUUUACAGAUGCAAAGUAGCACUAUGAACUGCAUCCAAUAGCUACUGGACAAGUCUGAGUGAAAACAGCUGAGAAGCAGUGCCAAGAAAGUAGAGAAAUUCAGAAAGAAAAAAAAAUCUGAACAUCAUUUUCAGCUUAAGAGAGAUAUCAGAUAUUUAGCCAGCUAUUCACUUUGCCCCAAUAGACACUAAAGUUCUGAUACAAACUUGGAGGCCCUUAAAUCUAUUUUUUCCCUCUCUGUGGCUAAGAAUAAAGAAAUCUCAAGGAAGGGCCCACAUGGGAGAGCUAUAAUUUGAUUUUUAUGUGUUUUUAUGAGCUUCUUGCAAAAUGUGUCAUGUUGUGUGCUCAAAGCCAUGUUUUUAUGAAUCCUGGUAAAUCUAUGUGAAAAACAGGUUUUCAGUUACUCAUAACUUUCUCUGCCAAAGAAACUUGUCUACUAUUUUUUCAAAAUAGAUUUUCUUCUUUUCUAGUGAUCAUGGAUUUAGGUCUAUUCCCUGUUCCACUGAAUCCUGAUGGACUCCCUGUUAAUAUGUUGCCCCCAGUUGGUUAUAUUCUGAAGUGGGUCACUUUUACAGUCCAAGACUGGAUUAAACCCCCACAGAUCCUUGUUGGGAACUAAUAUUUACAGUCAAUGCCCUCUUCUCUGUAACAGCCCCUCAGAUAUAGGAAGACAAUUAUCACGUCCCCCCCCCCAAUCCUUCUCUUUGAUAGGCUAGACACAUCUAGCUCCCUCAAUUGUUCAUCAUAUGAUUUAGCUUCCAUACUCUUUAUCAUCUUUGUUGCUCUUCUCUGUGCCCUUUUCAGGGUCCCAACACCAUUUUAAUAUUCUGCUGGCCAGAACUGUAUGCAUUAGUCCAAUAAUGGUCUCACUAAUACAGUAUAAAGUGAUAUUAUCACUUCUUGUGAAUCUGUAGGGACGUCUAGGCAGUUGCCAGGAGUCAAGAAUGACUUGAAGGUGUGUGCACACAUGCAUGCAUGCACGUGUUUGCAUGUACACCCACCACACACCCACCUACCCAGAUGCACCCUCCACAAGAUCUAAGCUCCCAGGCCAGCACCUUCACCACUUCAUCAUAUUGCUCCUUGGUUGAGAGAGAGGAACUAGCUCGAAGUUCCCCAGGAGACUGUUUGAUGGAGGAGGACUAAAACUUGUGUCUCCCUAUCCUGGUCCAGCACCUUAGCCACUAUAUCACAUUGGCUUCCCUUUAACCAGAACUGAGUAAUAUUUGAGAGCCAGUUUGAUGUAGCAUGUAAGGCACCAGGCUAGUAAAUAGGAGACCACAAGUUCUCAUCCAAUCUUAGACACAAAGCCAGCUGAGUAACCUUGGACCAGUUGCUUUUUC